rnacentral:rRNA from 1 species
UGGAUCCAGACUUUGAUUAUGGCUCAGGACGAACGCUGGCGGCGUGCUUCAUACAUGCAAGUCGAACGAGAAGCUAGCUUCGGUUAGUGGAAAGUGGCGGACGGGUGAGUAAUGUGUAGAGAAUCUGCCCUGUACAGGGGGACAACAGAGGGAAACUUCUGCUAAUACCCCGUAUGAGCGUACCUGCGAUGGUAUUCUUGAAAGUUCCGGCGGUACAGGAUGAGUCUGCAUCUGAUUAGCUAGUUGGUGGUGUAAUGGACUACCAAGGCGACGAUCAGUAGCUGGUUUGAGAGGAUGAUCAGCCACAAUGGGACUGAGACACGGCCCAUACUCCUACGGGAGGCAGCAGUAGGGAAUUUUGCGCAAUGGGCGAAAGCCUGACGCAGCAACGCCGCGUGAUCGAGACGCCCUUCGGGGUGUAAAGAUCUGUCAGUGGGGACGAAAUAUGACGGUACCCACAGAGGAAGCACCGGCUAACUCCGUGCCAGCAGCCGCGGUAAUACGGGGGGUGCAAGCGUUGUCCGGAAUCAUUGGGCGUAAAGAGUUCGUAGGCGGCACGUAAAGUCUGGUGUUAAAUUCAGAGGCUCAACUUCUGUACGGCACUGGAUACUUGCGAGCUAGAAUGCGGUAGAGGUAAAGGGAAUUCCUGGUGUAGCGGUGAAAUGCUUAGAUAUCAGGAGGAACAUCGGUGGCGUAAGCGCUUUACUGGGCCGUAAUUGACGCUGAGGAACGAAAGCCAGGGUAGCAAAUGGGAUUAGAUACCCCAGUAGUCCUGGCCGUAAACGAUGGAUACUAGGUGUUGCGGGUAUCGACCCCUGCAGUGCCGAAGCCAACGCGAUAAGUAUCCCGCCUGGGGAGUACGCACGCAAGUGUGCAACUCAAAUGAAUUGACGGA